rnacentral:tRNA from 2 species
CAACACGGUGGUCUAAAAUUUUAGGAUAUGAGUUUUGGGGACUCGUGGUCCCGCUAGGGCUUGUUGA